rnacentral:rRNA from 1 species
UACAGAGACCUCAAGCGUUAUCCGGAAUCAUUGGGCGUAAAGCGUACCGAUAGGUGGUUUUGCAAGUCAGAGGUGAAAUCUCUCAGCUUAACUGGGAGACUGUCCUUUGAAACUGCAAAGCUUGAGGGGCAAAGAGGAAGCUGGAACGAACGGUGUAGUAGUGAAAUGCGUUGAUUUCGUUCGGAACACCAAUAGCGUAGGCAGGCCUCUGGGUGCCACCUGACACUGCUAGGACGAAAGCGUGG